ensembl:lncRNA
GAAGAACAAAACACGUGAACUCUAGGUUCCUUGGAAGGUUAUGUUUCUAGGAGUCUUUUGGAUCAGUAAUUUCUUUUCUCUGUGAUGAAUUAACUCCAUGUUGUUCUCAUUGCACCUUAUGGACAAGUCAGUCUCACCUUAUGGACAAAUUUGUGCAUCAAUGAAUUGAGUCCCGUGUGACUAUUUCAAGACAAGAGAUGUAAGCCAUGGCUGGAUGCUGUGGCAAUAGCCACCUGCCUGAUGUCUCUGGAAGCUCUUCUUGGAUUUGUCUGGCAGGCUUGGAAUCCAUCCAGGGGAUGCAUGGAGCCAGCUGAGGAUGACAUUGUGGUCCAGCUGAAUAUGUCUGCUACCAAAACAGUUCUUCAGAGUCACCUGGAAGCCUCACAGGGAGCUAAAUGCUGGACACCCACAGAAGCCCUUCCCAUCCUGCCUGCCUGGAGGUUCUGCAGCAUCCCACAUCCUGCUGUCACAGCCCUUGUUACAUAAUGUCUGCUGCUGCCCAUCACUUCAACAAGCCUUAGACUCUGCAGCCUUGAAAGGAGUGUGCUUGCGAGAGCAGAAAAUCUGGCAGAUUAUUCCAGCAUUAUAUCCCUUCUUCCUGUUUUUAAACAUUUAAUCAUAAUUGCUAUUCUGUAUCACGAUUCUGCAGCACAAGAGCACACUGGGUGAUGCAACUUGUGUCUACUUGGCCUCCAUCUGUACGUCCUUGCAUCGCACUGAUUUGCUGCUUCUUGUCUUCUCUCCAAGUGCAGUCUCAGCUUGAGUGAAGCCAAUGUCUCUAUUACUGCUGGAACAGAAGCAAAAGAAAAAAAAGACCAGCAGCAACAGAAAGAAAAAGACACUGGACAUGCGUGUAUCUUAAUUGUCAGUAUAAUGAAGCCAGUAUGAUAAUGAUUUUACUGCUUUAAUCCCUGUCUGCUCUGCUGUUGCCUGUGGUAAUUUUAUUAUUUUUUGAACUUACUCCUUGGUGUUGCUCCUGCCUGCAGCUGCUAUGGAAGUGAGUAUGACUUCUUCUGCUUUACAGACUCAUUGGCAUUCACCAGCGCUUGCAGAAACCAAAAACACAUACGACAAGGAUAAAGUUCUAAACUCACAUUCAUUUUUUUUUAAAGCUCAGCUAAUGAUCUCUUUAACCUAACUAUGUUUAAACAUAAAAGUGGCAUCCUCCUUGUCAAUCAAGGGUGCCUUGAUUAAUAAUCAUUAUUAAUGAAAAUUAGCAUAAUUUUACUUUAUUAAAAUUUACCCUGCUAGUGCCGCUAUCACUUAGACUGUAAUAACACAGAGAAGUGCCCCUCCUAUGACAGGCACAGUUUGCCAUUUCCCAGAUUCAAGGCCAUGGAACGACUGCUUCUGAAUGUGACCAGAUUGCCUGUAAUACGGGAAGGGCACUGCUGGCAUGGUGAUACCAACAGUGCAAGUGCCCUUUUCUUCUGGUGGCAAAGACAUCUGGAGGGACUGUGGUCACUCUACCCUGCCUAACGCUUUGUGGGUUUCAUUUGGGCAAUGUGUCCAAAUGUCAGUGUGAUAAGGUGAAGCAUCACUCUCUUGAAUGGAGGCAGCUGAAGGUCGCUUAACUCUCCUUUCCUCUCCUGCCUUCAGUGAUAGAACUCUUUGACACUGACUACUCUUUGAUCUCACCAGAUCUGGUGGUGGGAUGUAGAAGAAAGAAGAAAGAACAAAAACAAAGAGCAUCUCUAUUAGAACAAGAACAUGGGAUGAAACUCUUUAGAUCUACUCUGAAAAGAAAGUGCUCCAGUGACGGCUGCUUUGGUAAUUUUUAGACAGAAACCAUGAAGAUCAGUCAGUGCUGUGAGAAUGCGAACACUGAUGUUUGAAUUUUCUGCAGACAAGAAAAUAUUAAUCUCUUGUUUUCUUGGAAAAGGGAAAUGGUUCAAUUUUUAUAUGAAAGAGAAACUCAACUUUUAGCAUUCUGUAUAAACAAAUGUAAGCCCCACUGAAUUUUGGCAGAUAAAUUAUGCCCUUUGAUUGUCAUGUCACACUUUUAUCUACUAAGGCACAUUGAUUUAAAACAUUGUUACCAGAACAUACUGUAUACUUAUUUUGUUUAGUUCUGUUUUCUGAGAUCAUUUAUCAAAGUGAUGUGUAUUACAGAAAACUGCAAAACAUGUAGGACAACUUCAAGUUUGCAGACACAUUUGUAGAGCUGCUUGAAUGAAGAAUAAAAAAAAAAUCUGACUUUUUCUCA